UACGUAGGGAGCAAGCGUUGUUCGGAAUUAUGGGCGUAAAGCGCGUGUAGGCGGCUUUGCAAGUCGGGUGUGAAAGCCCUCAGCUCAACUGAGGAAGUGCGCCCGAAACUGCAGAGCUUGAGUGCCGGAGAGGGUGGCGGAAUUCCCCAAGUAGAGGUGAAAUUCGUAGAUAUGGGGAGGAACACCGGUGGCGAAGGCGGCCACCUGGACGGUAACUGACGCUGAGACGCGAAAGCGUGGGUAGCAAACAGG
rnacentral:rRNA from 1 species